rnacentral:rRNA from 1 species
UUGAAUUGAAGAGUUUGAUCAUGGCUCAGAUUGAACGCUGGCGGCAGGCUUAACACAUGCAAGUCGAACGGUAGCAGGAAG